GCCUGUGGAUCCGAUUGGUUGUAACCGGCCUUUGACCCCAAAGGCAGUUACCAGGUUCCUAUUUGCAUGAUUGCUGCUCAGCACAAACCCUCCUGUGGAUUGAUUGCUGCUCGGCACAACUUUUCCUGUCAGGACAGUAAUUUUGCUUGGCACAACUUCUACUGUCAAAACAGUAAAUGCCAUUAAUCACAUUUUUAUGUGCGGAUGAAUACGUGACAGCUUCGAGCCCUCCAAUAAGUGCCUCCAUUCCUAAAAAGUUAACAUAAUAGCUAGAAGUUCCCUGUUCCCUACAUCAUAAUUCCGUUCGGAAUCAGAUAAUUUUUUAGAAUCGAAACAACACGGAUGAAGAGGUAUGUCUGGUGUAGCUCUCUGAAACAGUAUGG